rnacentral:rRNA from 1 species
UACGUAGGUGGCAAGCGUUGUCCGGAAUUAUUGGGCGUAAAGCGCGCGCAGGUGGUUCCUUAAGUCUGAUGUGAAAGCCCACGGCUCAACCGUGGAGGGUCAUUGGAAACUGGGGAACUUGAGUGCAGAAGAGGAAAGUGGAAUUCCAAGUGUAGCGGUGAAAUGCGUAGAGAUUUGGAGGAACACCCGUGGCGAAGGCGGCUCUCUGGAACGCAACUGACGCUGAGACGCGAAAGCGUGGGGAGCAAACAGG